UGGGGAAUAUUGCACAAUGGGCGCAAGCCUGAUGCAGCAACGCCGCGUGAGGGACGACGGCCUUCGGGUUGUAAACCUCUUUUAGUAGGGAAGAAGCGAAAGUGACGGUACCUGCAGAAAAAGCACCGGCUAACUACGUGCCAGCAGCCGCGGUAAUACGUAGGGUGCGAGCGUUGUCCGGAAUUAUUGGGCGUAAAGAGCUCGUAGGCGGUCUGUCGCGUCUGCUGUGAAAACCCGAGGCUCAACCUCGGGCCUGCAGUGGGUACGGGCAGACUAGAGUGCGGUAGGGGAGAAUGGAAUUCCUGGUGUAGCGGCGGAAUGCGCAGAUAUCAGGAGGAACACCGAUGGCGAAGGCAGUUCUCUGGGCCGUAACUGACGCUGAGGAGCGAAAGCGUGGGGAGCGAACAGGAUUAGAUACCCUGGUAGUCCACGCCGUAAACGUUGGGCGCUAGAUGUGGGGACCAUUCCACGGUUUCCGUGUC
rnacentral:rRNA from 1 species